rnacentral:misc_RNA from 1 species
AAGUCGUAACAAGGUUUCCGUAGGUGAACCUGCGGAAGGAUCAUUAUGAGAAUAUGUUAUCCAUGUUGGGAAUAGUCUGAGCUGUGUGGGGGGAGUGUUCUUGCCCCACGCAUUCAUAAAUGUAGAGUACCCAGAAGCCUAGGAUUAAACAAAAGUAAAAACAACUUUUAGCAACGGAUCUCUUGGCUCUC